AAUACAUAUUAAAUAACUUAUCGCUCAAAAUAUGAAAGUUUUUUGUCUGUUGUCCAAUCGAUUGGUGAUUAAUUUUUCAACGCAGAAACCUUGACUUACUGCACAAGUACAUGGCUGCGGUGAGGGCGGAUAUGAAUGCGCGUUGGCCAACCCUUACUGAUAUCCGCCAAAAGGAAGAGCUUUUCCCCCUGCCCCUGCGCUUCCAGCAAAUUACGAAGUAUAAUUUCCACAACAGUAACAGAAGUAUAGAGUUAAUAAGAAAUAUCGACAUAGUUAGCAGACAUAAAGCACACAACUACACGCCAAUGGCACUACCA